rnacentral:rRNA from 1 species
CCUACGGGAGGCAGCAGUGGGGAAUAUUGGACAAUUGGGGGAACCCUGAUCCAGCGACGCCGCGUGAGUGAAGAAGUAUUUCGGUAUGUAAAGCUCUAUCAGCAGGGAAGAAAGAAAUGACGGUACCUGACUAAGAAGCCCCGGCUAACUACGUGCCAGCAGCCGCGGUAAUACGUAGGGGGCAAGCGUUAUCCGGAUUUACUGGGUGUAAAGGGAGUGUAGACGGCGAUGCAAGUCUGAAGUGAAAGGCGGGGGCCCAACCUCCGGACUGCUUUGGAAACUGUAUGGCUGGAGGGCAGGAGAGGUAAGUGGAAUUCCUAGUGUAGCGGUGAAAUGCGUAGAUAUUAGGAGGAACACCAGUGGCGAAGGCGGCUUACUGGACUGUAACUGACGUUGAGGCUCGAAAGCGUGGGGAGCAAACAGGAUUAGAUACCCGAGUAGUC